ACGAACGCUGGCGGCAUGCUUAACACAUGCAAGUCGAACGAGAAAGCUCUUCGGAGUGAGUAGAGUGGCGCACGGGUGAGUAAUGCAUAGGAACAUACCAUGUAGUGGGGAAUAACUGUUGGAAACGACAGCUAAUACCGCAUAAUCAGGAAACUGGAAAGUUGGCCUCUCCUUGGAAGCUAGCGCUAUUUGAUUGGCCUAUGUCCCAUUAGCUAGUUGGUAAGGUAACGGCUUACCAAGGCUCCGAUGGGUAGCGGGUCUGAGAGGACGAUCCGCCACACUGGAACUGAGACACGGUCCAGACUCCUACGGGAGGCAGCAGUGGGGAAUUUUGCACAAUGGACGCAAGUCUGAUGCAGCAAUGCCGCGUGAGUGAAGAAGGCCCUUGGGUUGUAAAUCUCUUUCGAGUGAAAAGAAGGGGACAGUUGCGAAUAGUCUCUGUUCUUGACGGUAUCACUAUAAGAAGCACCGGCUAACUCCGUGCCAGCAGCCGCGGUAAUACGGAGGGUGCAAGCGUUGUUCGGAAUUACUGGGCGUAAAGCGCUCGUAGGCGGACUUAUAAGUCAGUUGUGAAAGCCCGGGGCCCAACCCCGGAAUUGCAAUUGAAACUGUGAGUCUUGAAUAUCUGAGAGGGUGGGGGAAUUCCUGGUGUAGAAGUGAAAUUCGUAGAUAUCAGGAGGAACAUCUGAGGCGAAGGCGCCUACCUGGCAGAAUAUUGACGCUGAGGAGCGAAAGCGUGGGGAGCAAACAGGAUUAGAUACCCUGGUAGUCCACGCCGUAAACGAUGGAUACUAGGUGUUCGGAGAUUAACCCUCUGAGUACCAAAGCUAACGCAUUAAGUAUCCCGCCUGGGGAGUACGGUCGCAAGGCUAAAACUCAAAGGAAUUGACGGGGGCCCGCACAAGCGGUGGAGUAUGUGGUUUAAUUCGAAGCUACGCGCAGAACCUUACCUGGUCUUGACAUCCUGUGACAAUCCAAGAGAUUGGACUUUACCUUCGGGUACAUAGUGACAGGUGCUGCAUGGCUGUCGUCAGCUCGUGUCGUAAGAUGUUAGGUUAAGUCCUGCAACGAGCGCAACCCCUGUUUUUAGUUGCCAGCAUUAAGUUGGGCACUCUAGAAAGACUGCCGGUGUUAAACCGGAGGAAGGCGGGGAUGACGUCAAGUCCUCAUGGCCCUUACGACCAGGGCUACACACGUACUACAAUGGUAGAAACAAACAGUUGCGAAGCCGCGAGGUGGAGCCAAUCUGUAAAACACUAUCUCAGUCCGGAUUGAAGUCUGCAACUCGACUUCAUGAAGCUGGAAUCGCUAGUAAUCGGAGAUCAGCACGCUUCGGUGAAUACGUUCCCGGGCCUUGUACUCACCGC
rnacentral:rRNA from 1 species